UAGGGAAUCUUCGGCAAUGGGGGCAACCCUGACCGAGCAACGCCGCGUGAGUGAAGAAGGUUUUCGGAUCGUAAAACUCUGUUGUUAGAGAAGAACGUUAAGUAGAGUGGAAAAUUACUUAAGUGACGGUAUCUAACCAGAAAGGGACGGCUAACUACGUGCCAGCAGCCGCGGUAAUACGUAGGUCCCAAGCGUUGUCCGGAUUUAUUGGGCGUAAAGCGAGCGCAGGUGGUUUCUUAAGUCUGAUGUAAAAGGCAGUGGCUCAACCAUUGUGUGCAUUGGAAACUGGGAGACUUGAGUGCAGGAGAGGAGAGUGGAAUUCCAUGUGUAGCGGUGAAAUGCGUAGAUAUAUGGAGGAACACCGGAGGCGAAAGCGGCUCUCUGGCCUGUAACUGACACUGAGGCUCGAAAGCGUGGGGAGCAAACAGGAUUAGAUACCCUGGUA
rnacentral:rRNA from 1 species